rnacentral:rRNA from 1 species
AGUGAACGCUGGCGGUAGGCCUAACACAUGCAAGUCGAACGGCAGCACAGUAAGAGCUUGCUCUUACGGGUGGCGAGUGGCGGACGGGUGGGGAAUACAUCGGAAUCUACUUUUUCGUGGGGGAUAACGUAGGGAAACUUACGCUAAUACCGCAUACGACCUACGGGUGAAAGCAGGGGAUCUUCGGACCUUGCGCGAUUGAAUGAGCCGAUGUCGGAUUAGCUAGUUGGCGGGGUAAAGGCCCACCAAGGCGACGAUCCGUAGCUGGUCUGAGAGGAUGAUCAGCCACACUGGAACUGAGACACGGUCCAGACUCCUACGGGAGGCAGCAGUGGGGAAUAUUGGACAAUGGGCGCAAGCCUGAUCCAGCCAUGCCGCGUGAGUGAAGAAGGCCUUCGGGUUGUAAAGCCCUUUUGUUGGGAAAGAAAAGCAGCAGAUGAAUACCCCGCUGUUCUGACGGUACCCAAAGAAUAAGCACCGGCUAACUUCGUG